AGCUCCAGGAAGGCUCUCAGUGCAGCCCCUCUGCCUGCAGCACAACUCCAAGCAGCUGGAGGCCAGCAGAAGACAUCACCAAACCACAGCGUGGUGCUAAGGCACAUCGUGGUGAUACCAGUCCUCGGUGGUGCUGCUCUUUCAGCCAUGCUGCCAGGGAAGGAGGAGACCACAGCAAGGGACACCACCAAGAGAGAGAUCUCCAAAGGGAUUGCCCUCAAAACUUGCAAAGGCUCUAAGGAACUGGAGCAUGAAGCCAGAGUUGGUGAGAUGGGUUGCAGCCCCAGCCGUGCCCUGCUCUGGAAGGCUGAAUACCAAGCCAGGAGACCAAGCCAUGACUCCAUAGGUUUGGAGACCAAGCCCAUUCUCAUCUGUGUGUUGUACCAGUGAAGCAGGAUCUCAGGACUGAGAUCUCCAGGUGCUCCCGAGGGAACCUCCUUUGAUUCCAGCCCAGAGGCAACAUCACCCAGAGGAGUUUGCACAGGAAUACAUCCAGACAGGUUGUGAAAGUCACCAGAGAAGAAGACUCCACACCCUGCCUGGGCAGCCUGCUCCUGGAGGAGUGCUUGUGAAAGCUCGAGCUAUGGCACAGACAAGCCCCUGGGUUUCUUUCUGCCACGCUGAGGUGUUUCUCUGAGAGGAGCAGCCCAGAAGCCUGCGUCCCCUCCUGCCCCAGGCACUCACCGCAGCUCUCCUCGUCGGAGCCAUCCUCGCAGUCCUGCUCCCCGUCGCACUCUGGGUUCUGUUUGCUGAUGCAGAGGCCAUUGCGGCACUUGUAGGUGUGCUCCUUGCAGGGCACUGUUGUCUGCACCGCUGCAGCCUGCAGCAACAGAGGCGAGCGAGCAGGGAGCCCUCAGCUCUAGGCACUGAGGUGUGUCACCCUGAAGGAGCCCAGGGGACAGCCUCCCAGGCCAGCCCUUCCCCUGGGAAGCCAGCGAGAGGCAAGGGCUGACUUACUGCAGGCCCUCUCGUCGCUGCCGUCCACGCAGUCCAGCCAGCCGUCGCAGCGCAUGCUGCUGUCGAUGCAGCGGCCGGUGUUGCAGGUGAACUUGCCAGGGCAGGCUGGGAGGAGAGGAGAGGCUUAAACCGGCGCCUGAGACUUCCACCUCUCCCCUCUCCUUCCCCUCCCCAAGGCACACCCAGGUGCCUGUGCCUGCUUGCAGCAUCCAGCAGCUAAAA